UACGAGAGGCCCAAGCAUUAUUCGGAAUUACUGGGCUUAAAGAGUUCGUAGGCGGCAUAGUAAGUAGGGUGUGAAAUCCCUCGGCUCAACCGAGGAAUUGCGCUCUAAACUACCGUGCUAGAGGAAGCUAGAGGUGAGCGGAACUGAUGGUGGAGCGGUGAAAUGCGUUGAUAUCAUCAGGAACACCGGAGGCGAAGGCGGCUCACUGGGGCUUUUCUGACGCUGAGGAACGAAAGCCAGGGUAGCGAACGGG
rnacentral:rRNA from 1 species